UACAGCCACAUCAUGUUGAAACACUGGUUCCCAUAUGAACACUGAAGUUAAGCAAUGUUGAGCCUGGUCAGUAUCUAGAUGGGUGACCACUUGAGAAUACCAGGUGCUGUAAG